CGAGGGGCAGCAUUACUUUCGGGUAGAUGUCUUACCGGCGCACGGGUGCGUAACGCGUAUGCAACCUACCUAUCACAUAGGGAUAGCCUCUAGAAACGGAGAUUAAUACCUAAUGGCAUCUACAUACUGCAUAGUAUUAAGAUUAAAGAUUUAUCGGUGAUAGAUGGGCAUGCGUGACAUUAGCUAGUUGGUAAGGUAACGGCUUACCAAGGCGACGAUGUCUAGGGGAUCUGAGAGGACUACCCCCCACACUGGUACUGAGACACGGACCAGACUCCUACGGGAGGCAGCAGUGAGGAAUAUUGGUCAAUGGAGGCAACUCUGAACCAGCCAUGCCGCGUGCAGGAUGACUGCCCUAUGGGUUGUAAACUGCUUUUAUAUGAGAAGAAAAUUAGCUACCUGCACUUAACUGACGGUAUCAUAAGAAUAAGGACCGGCUACCUCCGUGCCUCAGCCCGCGGUAAUACGGAGGGUCCAAGCGUUAUCCGGAUUUUUUGGGGUUUAAAGGGUCCGCAGGCGGGCUUAAUAAGUCAGAGGUGAAAUCCCAUCGCUCAACAAUGGGAACUGCCUUUGAUACUGUA
rnacentral:rRNA from 1 species